CUUCGCUCGCGCUGGCAAACGCCGACAAACUAAACUAAUUGAACAUUACGAGACGCGCAGCGCCGUUAACGGGAGCACCGGGAGAGCAAACAGAUGGAAGGUAAACCACUUACCCAAGUCUUUACUGGAGUCACGUUGUCCCAGUUCCCUCUCAAAACUAGUGGACAUUGCAGAACCAAAACUCCAGGUGAUCCACCUGAGCAACUAUAUCCCACACAUUUCCAUUCUUUCAAACUUUUGAAGCAUCGUCAAGAAGCAUCCGUGAAGAAAGUGAGGUGUUUUUGAGGAAAGCGGCCGCCUGACAUCUCUCCCUUUACUUUCACCCCCCACCCCCCAUGACCUGCACUAAACCUGCAGUCAUAUCUCACCUACUCAACAAUAUUCAAAACUUCUGAGGUUGAUAGGUUUGCCUAGAUCACGUGGAGUUAGACAGAUUGAUAACAGCCAGUUAUAAAGUGACACACAGAUAGAUAAGCCAAAACGGACAGAUAGUACUGAAGGAAUGAUUAACCGGUGGACAAGAGAGUUCGAACCGCCGUCCACGGCAGUGACUGAAAGGAAAUAAGACAGGUGGUAAAACACCAGAUCAAAAGAACACAACAGGUAGAUACCAGGCCAACUACUUCAACCAAACACUAGCACACAGAGUGAGCUUGUUUUAUGGGACGUCGCUCCACACAAAAGAGCAAUUUCAUGCAAGGUGAGGGGCAACAAUGCCAUCUAAAUUUGGCAACAAAAGAUAAAGAGUCUCGGGACAAGUGGCCUGGCAAACAUAGGCUUGUUGACUGAAGCGCGGGGACCUAAUGACCCUCAUGUCACUGGCCCACAGCAGCUACAAGGGAGAAGACAACAGAGUGAGGCCGUCUUGACUACCAUAAGUGGACGUGCGUUGAUAACACAAGGGGUACCUGAGAGCUCUUUGCUUACCAGAGAGAUUACUGGCCCGCCGAGGCUCAAAGCUGGGGGAUUUGUCAACUUAACCCCUGUCCCCGCUCCUUUUUUCCCUCCUUCAGCCGUUUUUUACGAUGCUGGAUGGACCCCUGCACUAAACAGAGGUCUUUACAGCAGAAUAAAACGUGGUUAAGUGUAGCAGGCUGGGGUCAAGGUUUCAAUUGUGGAGGAGAGGGCUUCAGGAGCUAAUGAAACUCUGACUGCCAGCCACGCUCAGUAAUCUAUUCAACUCGUGUACAUGCCAAGAGACAUGUUUAUAUCUGCUAAAAUUAUUGUGGUGACUUGCAAAAAUUGGCAUUCUUCUAUGUAGUCUAUUAUUGGAUAGAUAGAUAGAUAGAUAGAUAGAUAGAUAGAUAGAUAGAUAGAUAGACAGAUAGACAGACAGAUUUAUAUUUAUUUUUAUAAAUGUUUAUAUUAUUUAUUAUUUUAUAUUAACACAUCAUAUGUCUUAUAUGUAUAUUAGUGUGAUAUAUAAUUUGAAGUAUAAAAUGCAUAUUUAAUGAAUUUACUUAGUUAAAUCAUGUAUAAUAUAU